UCUAGGUUUACUGACGGGUCCGCCACGCUGAUGGGUCCGCGAACUAGAUCUUCCGAAACCCGAUAACCUGUUAUUCUUUCCUUUGACCGCUUCUUUCUUCCCCAAUAUUUCUCCGCUUCGUGAGAGUCACGGGUGGUGGCCUCGCCGCCGCUUUCGCUUUGCGCCGCGCCAGACCGUGGGUGGGGCGGAGCCACCGGCGGCAGUCCGCUAAGCUGCGGCGAGCUGUGGGGUGGGCAUGGCUAAGCCUCGCGCGCCGCUUUCCGCUGUGCCCGCGGCCUGCGGUGGUUUGAGAUCUCCGGACCGCUUCCCCCAUGCCGACGACCGCACUAGAGCCCAUGCCCCAUCGAUUUUUUUAGAAUGUUCCGGGAAGAGUUGCAGUUGCUUCAAGAGCCUGGCUCAUAUGUUGGUCAGGUGGUGAAGAUCAUGAGGAAAUCAAAGGUUCUGGUGAAGUUUUCUCUAGGUUGGUUUUGAGCUGCUGUUGGAGCUGCUGCUGCUGCUUUUUUUUCUGCUGUUGGAGCUGCUGCACUCCGAGGUUCGGGCAGCUGAUGACUUCUAUGUGUGUUGUGUUGAUUUGCAUUAUUGUUUUUAUGUUUGAGUUUGACCUUUGUUUUUUCUUGGUGAAUUUAGUUGAGUUGCUUAACUUGUUUUUGUGUGUGUGACGUUUCUGCAGUUAUAUGUCAAAAAUAACAAAAGCACUACGUGAUCCCUGUGAAGUAGUACGGAGACAAAUGUUUUUAUCCUACUCUCUAAGUUGCUGCAGGGACUAUGUAAAAUGGAGAGGGGUUCUCUUCCUUUGGUUUCUGCCAUCUUUAGUUGAUGAGUCUGAGAAGAUAAGGCAUUUGGCUGACUAUCUUUUUGAAAACAUCUAAAAAGCUAAAGCGCCACUCCUUGUAUAUAAUAGUUUUAUUGAAGCUAUAUAUGUUCUAAACGAUUGCACUGGACAUGGUGUCUACAACGACUCUAGUCUUAGGGAAGUUCAGACAGAAGACCUGUCCUUUUUGGAAUUCCGUAAAACAACUCAAACUGUUUCUCAGUGUUGAUGAUAUAGCUGUUUGCGAUAUAUGGCUUUCUCAGUGUUGAUGAUGCUGGUGGAAGGGCUGUACUCUAGGAUGCUCUGCAGAUACCGGCUUGCAAGGAGAUGUGCAUCCACCACAACAUGUUGUUAGAGAAUUCUGAGAUGGAUGAGGAAGGUGGCGAGGGCAGAGGAACGACCAGCGUGCUCUUGGUGGCCAGAGGGAGGGUGGUGACCUAGGUCGCGAAGAAGAACCUGAUCCAGAUUGUGGUCUUGAUCUUCAUCGAGCUGAAGCGGCUACUGGAGAGCAAGAACAACAAGUGAACUGCGACAUUGAGCCGAAGCGGCUGCUAGAGAGCAAGAACAAGAAGUGAGCAGUGACGACAGUGAGACGUGUAUAGUGAGCCAGCUACGGGUGUACCAUAAAUCAAAAGAGUGCGUUUUGUUUUUGCUGUUAAUGGAUGUUGGAUUUGGGAAGCCGUUAUGGGAUGAUCUAUUUAUGUUUUAGUUGACAGAUAUUUCAAUGUUCUAUCCGUCAGAUUUUUUUG